rnacentral:rRNA from 1 species
AUGGUUAUCCAGGAGUUCGCCGUCGAUCUCAACAAGCCACUUGUUUUCCAGGUUGGCCACCUUGAGGAACAUUACCAGGAAUGGGUUCACCAGCCUGUCGUGAGCAAAGAAGGUCCACACUUUUUCGCAAAUGAUACCAUGGAGUUCUUGACACGCACAAAGUGGUGGGCUGUGCCAGUCAUAUGGCUACCUGCAGUCUGCUGGCUGUUUGCCAAGUCGAUACGGAUGGGUCACACCAUUCAGGAAGUAAUCCUGAUGGCCCUAUUUGGAGUGUUUGUGUGGACGUUGAUCGAGUACAGUUUGCACCGCUUCCUGUUCCACAUCGAGAGGAAAAGCUAUUGGUAA